rnacentral:rRNA from 1 species
ACAUACGACCAUACCCACUGGAGAACUCGGGAUCCCGUCCGCUCUCCCAUCGAUAAACCAGUGAGGGCCGGAUCAGUAGUUGGGUCGGUGACGACCAGCGAAUACCUGGUGUUGUAUGUU